rnacentral:lncRNA from 1 species
AGUGUGGCUAGCCAUGAACCACAUGGAGAGCCGAUAGCUAAUAGCCAGCAAAGCACUAGCGAGCGUGAGAAGACGCAGUCAAUGGCUAACUGCACCGAGUAAGAACCUGGCCACACAACAGUCUACAUUCAAGCUUGCUACCGCUGGGGCCCACUGUAUUUCUUAAAAGUCAACUCAAUGCGCAAAGAAACCGCUCCUUUCUUUUGACCUUUUCGCUUUUCUAGUUUUGGAGCAAGUGCCAUUUUCGUAAAAACAAGUUCGAUCUACCCGCUUCGAUGUUUCCCAUGACUUCUGUCAUUAUCACUGUAUCACCUCAUUAAACAUUUUUUAUUCUCCCUG